UAUUACCCGUCGGUCAGGUGACCGGAGAGUUUUAUUGUUCCGUACGAAUAGGCUAAUUUCAUUAAUUUCGAUUUUUUCAUAGGUUUUGCUUAUGGUAUUUGCUGCUUUCGCUGUAGCUGACAUUUUCGCAGCCACGUAAGCAAUAUCCCCUAGAGCUAGUGAUGAGCAGAGAUUAUUCAAGAUAAGGCCUCAGGAAUUUCUCUCAAAGUGAAUUGUGGGUUUUAUGUUAAUGUGAAGAAACGCAGAAAAGGGAGAUGACUAUAUGAACGGAUGAGAGUGCGCUCUUUUUAAAUUCCCCAUUUGCGUAACUUCUCCUAAAAUAAAUACAUGUUUUAAAUUAAAAAUAGCACUCACCGCUUCUACUAUUUUGCUGUCGUUUGGCUUUAGUGCAGGUUUAUUGGUUGUGUGUACACUUUUCGAUUUCGCGCACUUGAGAACUAAAAUCACUUGUGUAAUCCUUGUUCUGUGUUCCAUAUAACUUGAUCGAUAAGGUAACACUGACUAUUUUUCAGUAUGUAACCGUUUUUGUUAUUGUGUGAAUAAAUCGAAUUGAACAAAAAAUUAAAUAUUGAAUAAAAGCUAUGUUUUCACUAUAUAAUGUGAAAUAAGUGUGAUGUAUUUUAUCCACGAAAUCCUUCGACGGUAUUCUAAAGAUUUCCGAAAGUAAACCAAAUCACUCGUUUUUGUAUCCAUUUUAAUUUCCACUUUCACUCGGAUUCCAGAACCUGAAAGUAGUAGUAGAGAACAUGAUACUGCGUUGAUGAACCCACACAAGUAAGAUAACAAAAUAGCCUGAUGCUAUUGAUAAAGACAGUACAUUUACUGCUACAUUGCAUUAUCAGCAAUGCACUUGUCAGUUUAGUCUACAGGUGCCACGUGCCAUUGUUAGUGUUAUCCUUAUUGCACCACAGAUGCAAUGAGCUUUCCUUGAACACAUAGCAGCUUCAUAGCGAAUGUGAUUUUUCCAUGCGCUCUCCACCAGACAAGAACCCCUUAAAUUAUUAUUGGCUUGACUAAGGAACGAAAAAAUCAGUGCAAAUUCAUCAAAAGCCCAUUAAUCACCUCCGAUUAUUAUUGAAGGCUUCAUGACACUCGGAGUGCAAAGCAGUGUCUGCCGACCUGUUGUACAGAUCCACGAGGCUUUCUAAAAUAUUUAUAAAAAGAAGAAAAUACACUGAUAGGCCUAUAUUUCUUGGCAGUGACGUAAACGCUUUUACUAGUCCUGCCUCCAAACCACCGGUAUGUUAUACUGCUGGCUAAAGCUUGAUAAGUAUGACACCGUCAGGUUCCGUGGCCUUAAUGAGCGCCCAAGGGAGACGACGCUCUUCCAGAAGAUCUGAAUAGGUGUACAUCCUUCUCGAUACUUUCCGUAGAUCGGUUACGAGGAAAGUAAACAUUUGGAAGUCACCAGCUCAACUUCUUAAAUACAAGCAGGCACCUACGCUUACAAAGAGGGAUCUAGAAGAAUAUAUGCUAUAUAUAUUGUAUAUAGCAGGCCCCACUUUCUAAAAUGCCAAAUUAGCACUAGAACCGCUUUUACGGGCCGCAUUAAACAGUCUUCUUAAGUUUUUAUCUAUGAUAGCCCCGAUGUCUCAAAGGAUUUCCCUGCACCUUUCUAAGGUCUACUUGUCAUGUUAUUUUGGUUUAAUAUUGCUUGGCAUUUCAUUAUGGAAAGACUAACGCCUAAACAACAAAUCGUUCAACUUUAUUAUGAAAAUUCACGAAAAUGUGUUUCGCUCCCUUCGCUCAACAUAUGGUCUACUGAGCUUACUAUUCGCAACAUCAUCAACAAUCUUGAGAACCAACUUGCAUUAUUGGUUAAUAUUCGACCGAAUAGACCACCUCCAGCACGCAGUGAACAAAAUAUAGCGGCCGUAGCUGAGGGUGUACAUGAAGACCAUGGAGAGUCGAUUCGGCAACUUUCGCAGCAACUCGAACUGACGUAUGGAACGACUUGGCACAUUUUACGUCGAUAUCUUAAAUUGAAAGCGUAAAAAAGACAACUUGUACAAGAACUGAAGCCGCUUGACCUUCCCAAGCGACGUCGCCUCGCUCUAUGGGCUCUGGAAAAGUUCCAAGAAGAUCCGACGUUUAAAAUUCUGGCUCAAUGGGUAUGUAAAUACGCAAAAUUGCCGCAUAUAGGACGAAAAGCAACCUGAAGAGAUUCAAGAAAACAGCAAAUUUUAUGUACAUACAUGUGUUGAAAAGAAAAUUAAGUGAAGUGUCAUAAUCUUGCAUUUGAUUUAUGCUUCAAAUACACGUACACACAUACCUAAAAAAGAAAAAUUUACACAACAAAUGACAUAUUUACAAGGGUGAAACAAGCACAUACAUACAGGUAGGAAAAUAAUAAAAUAAAACAAUCGGGCGCGGAAUCGAAAAAAAAAUACAGUCAUAUAUAAAUAUCAUUCAAAACGGGCGCGAAGUAUUACAAUAAUAUUAUAAAACUACAAAAGAAAAACAUAAAACAAACGGCACAGGAGACUACAGAAAUUUCUGGAGACUAAAGGAGAAAUAUCCUUAGUCGAAAAAUAAAUGGCGCAGUUUUAACGGUAUAUAAUUGUUCUCCAAUUGCAACUUCCAUCCCCAUAUAGCAGUACUUUUAAGAACUACUAAAAACACUACCCGAUGUCGCUUUGCUACAAUGGAAUUUCUAGUAUCAAGAAAAAAAAACCGCAAAAAUGGCACCAAAUGAAAGAAUUCCUUACUGCUCAAAUUGAAAUAACAGAUCAAGUAGACAAAAAGGUAGUUAAGCAAAAAAGUCAUCAGCACGACUCAAACCAAAACUUUUUCAAACCCCAAACCAGUAACAACUUGCACUAUAGUAGACAUGUUAAUAGAAGAGAUUUAAGAAAAUUUCUGUUUCAGAUAGAAACAAUAUUGUCUGACGGCACAAACUUUGUAUCAACUGUCUGACCAGAAGACUGCGAAAAUAAAUUUAAUUGCGUUUACUGUCGUCGAUGACAUCAUUCA